GACGAACGCUGGCGGCGUGCCUACUACAUGCAAGUUGAGCGCUGAAGGUUGGUACUUGUACCAACUGGAUGAGCAGCGAACGGGUGAGUAACGCGUGGGGAAUCUGCCUUUGAGCGGGGGACAACAUUUGGAAACGAAUGCUAAUACCGCAUAAAAACUUUAAACACAAGUUUUAAGUUUGAAAGAUGCAAUUGCAUCACUCAAAGAUGAUCCCGCGUUGUAUUAGCUAGUUGGUGAGGUAAAGGCUCACCAAGGCGAUGAUACAUAGCCGACCUGAGAGGGUGAUCGGCCACAUUGGGACUGAGACACGGCCCAAACUCCUACGGGAGGCAGCAGUAGGGAAUCUUCGGCAAUGGACGAAAGUCUGACCGAGCAACGCCGCGUGAGUGAAGAAGGUUUUCGGAUCGUAAAACUCUGUUGGUAGAGAAGAACGUUGGUGAGAGUGGAAAGCUCAUCAAGUGACGGUAACUACCCAGAAAGGGACGGCUAACUACGUG
rnacentral:rRNA from 1 species